UGAAACCGUGUACGUACAAGCAGUGGGAGCCCUGAUUUAUCAGGGUGACUGCGUACCUUUUGUAUAAUGGGUCAGCGACUUAUAUUCUGUAGCAAGGUUAACCGAAUAGGGGAGCCGGAGGGAAACCGAGUCUUAACUGGGCGUUAAGUUGCAGGGUAUAGACCCGAAACCCGGUGAUCUAGCCAUGGGCAGGUUGAAGGUUGGGUAACACUAACUGGAGGACCGAACCGACUAAUGUUGAAAAAUUAGCGGAUGACUUGUGGCUGGGGGUGAAAGGCCAAUCAAACCGGGAGAUAGCUGGUUCUCCCCGAAAGCUAUUUAGGUAGCGCCUCGUGAAUUCAUCUCCGGGGGUAGAGCACUGUUUCGGCAAGGGGGUCAUCCCGACUUACCAACCCGAUGCAAACUGCGAAUACCGGAGAAUGUUAUCACGGGAGACACACGGCGGGUGCUAACGUCCGUCGUGAAGAGGGAAACAACCCAGACCGCCAGCUAAGGUCCCAAAGUCAUGGUUAAGUGGGAAACGAUGUGGGAAGGCCCAGACAGCCAGGAUGUUGGCUUAGAAGCAGCCAUCAUUUAAAGAAAGCGUAAUAGCUCACUGGUCGAGUCGGCCUGCGCGGAAGAUGUAACGGGGCUAAACCAUGCACCGAAGCUGCGGCAGCGACACUGUGUGUUGUUGGGUAGGGGAGCGUUCUGUAAGCCUGUGAAGGUGUGCUGUGAGGCAUGCUGGAGGUAUCAGAAGUGCGAAUGCUGACAUAAGUAACGAUAAAGCGGGUGAAAAGCCCGCUCGCCGGAAGACCAAGGGUUCCUGUCCAACGUUAAUCGGGGCAGGGUGAGUCGACCCCUAAGGCGAGGCCGAAAGGCGUAGUCGAUGGGAAACAGGUUAAUAUUCCUGUACUUGGUGUUACUGCGAAGGGGGGACGGAGAAGGCUAUGUUGGCCGGGCGACGGUUGUCCCGGUUUAAGCGUGUAGGCUGGUUUUCCAGGCAAAUCCGGAAAAUCAAGGCUGAGGCGUGAUGACGAGGCACUACGGUGCUGAAGCAACAAAUGCCCUGCUUCCAGGAAAAGCCUCUAAGCAUCAGGUAACAUCAAAUCGUACCCCAAACCGACACAGGUGGUCAGGUAGAGAAUACCAAGGCGCUUGAGAGAACUCGGGUGAAGGAACUAGGCAAAAUGGUGCCGUAACUUCGGGAGAAGGCACGCUGAUAUGUAGGUGAAGUCCCUCGCGGAUGGAGCUGAAAUCAGUCGAAGAUACCAGCUGGCUGCAACUGUUUAUUAAAAACACAGCACUGUGCAAACACGAAAGUGGACGUAUACGGUGUGACGCCUGCCCGGUGCCGGAAGGUUAAUUGAUGGGGUCAGCGUAAGCGAAGCUCUUGAUCGAAGCCCCGGUAAACGGCGGCCGUAACUAUAACGGUCCUAAGGUAGCGAAAUUCCUUGUCGGGUAAGUUCCGACCUGCACGAAUGGCGUAAUGAUGGCCAGGCUGUCUCCACCCGAGACUCAGUGAAAUUGAACUCGCUGUGAAGAUGCAGUGUACCCGCGGCAAGACGGAAAGACCCCGUGAACCUUUACUAUAGCUUGACACUGAACACUGGUCCUUGAUGUGUAGGAUAGGUGGGAGGCUUUGAAGUGUGGACGCCAGUCUGCAUGGAGCCGUCCUUGAAAUACCACCCUUUAAUGGCUGGUGUUCUAACGUUGGCCCCUUACCGGGGUUGCGGACAGUGUCUGGUGGGUAGUUUGACUGGGGCGGUCUCCUCCUAAAGAGUAACGGAGGAGCACGAAGGUUGGCUAAUCCUGGUCGGACAUCAGGAGGUUAGUGCAAUGGCAUAAGCCAGCUUGACUGCGAGCGUGACGGCGCGAGCAGGUGCGAAAGCAGGUCAUAGUGAUCCGGUGGUUCUGAAUGGAAGGGCCAUCGCUCAACGGAUAAAAGGUACUCCGGGGAUAACAGGCUGAUACCGCCCAAGAGUUCAUAUCGACGGCGGUGUUUGGCACCUCGAUGUCGGCUCAUCACAUCCUGGGGCUGAAGUAGGUCCCAAGGGUAUGGCUGUUCGCCAUUUAAAGUGGUACGCGAGCUGGGUUUAGAACGUCGUGAGACAGUUCGGUCCCUAUCUGCCGUGGGCGCUGGAGAACUGAGGGGGGCUGCUCCUAGUACGAGAGGACCGGAGUGGACGCAUCACUGGUGUUCGGGUUGUCAUGCCAAUGGCACUGCCCGGUAGCUAAAUGCGGAAGAGAUAAGUGCUGAAAGCAUCUAAGCACGAAACUUGCCCC
rnacentral:rRNA from 1 species